UACAUCGGAACGUGCCCAAUCGUGGGGGAUAACGUAGCGAAAGCUACGCUAAUACCGCAUACGAUCUACGGAUGAAAGCGGGGGAUCGCAAGACCUCGCGCGAAUGGAGCGGCCGAUGGCAGAUUAGGUAGUUGGUGGGGUAAAGGCUCACCAAGCCAUCGAUCUGUAGCUGGUCUGAGAGGACGACCAGCCACACUGGGACUGAGACACGGCCCAG
rnacentral:rRNA from 1 species